AGCAGCAGGCGCGAAACCUCUGCAAUAGGCGAAAGCUUGACAGGGUUACUCUGAGUGAUUUCCGUUAAGGAGAUCUUUUGGCACCUCUAAAAAUGGUGCAGAAUAAGGGGUGGGCAAGUCUGGUGUCAGCCGCCGCGGUAAUAC
rnacentral:rRNA from 1 species